rnacentral:lncRNA from 1 species
AGUUUGCUUGUUUGGUAUGGGACUGUCAAGUAGUUUUCCUGGUCUCUUAGCACAUUGAAGAAUAUCUCUUGCCUACUUGUGGUGAUCUUCUUUUUUGUUUUCUUCACUAUCUCUUUUAUAACGCCUAGUUUGCUUGUUUGGUAUGGGACUGUCAAGUAGUUUUCCUGGUCUCUUACGUCUUCUGCCGUUUCCUUUUUUGUUUUUGUUGGGUUCCCUUAAUCUUGUGUAUUCUGUUCAGGAAGCUCCUGCUGUAGUCGUAUUCAUGUCCUACUCGAUAUAUAUAGUUAAGUUCCUCUUGCAGAUUGUGAUUCUGAUCUGUAUAGGUGUAUGCCCUUUUCAAACUUAAGCCGAACAAGCACUAACUCCCCCUGGUGAAUAAAUUUGGAAUAAACUGUACAAUUGAUAAUUAAUAUUUAAUUUGAACUGUGGUGCCGCCGUCUAUUGGAU